CGCCAGACUCCUACGGGAGGCAGCAGUGGGGAAUAUUGCACAAUGGGGGAAACCCUGAUGCAGCGACGCCGCGUGAGUGAAGAAGUAUUUCGGUAUGUAAAGCUCUAUCAGCAGGGAAGAAAAUGACGGUACCUGACUAAGAAGCCCCGGCUAACUACGUGCCAGCAGCCGCGGUAAUACGUAGGGGGCAAGCGUUAUCCGGAUUUACUGGGUGUAAAGGGAGCGUAGACGGCGAUGCAAGUCUGAAGUGAAAGGCGGGGGCCCAACCCCCGGACUGCUUUGGAAACUGUAUAGCUGGAGUGCAGGAGAGGUAAGUGGAAUUCCUAGUGUAGCGGUGAAAUGCGUAGAUAUUAGGAGGAACACCAGUGGCGAAGGCGGCCUGCUGGACCGCGACUGACGUUGAGGCUCGAAAGCGUGGGGAGCGAACAGGAUUAGAUACCCUGGUA
rnacentral:rRNA from 1 species